UACGUAGGGGGCAAGCGUUGUCCGGAAUCAUUGGGCGUAAAGAGCGUGUAGGCGGUCCGGUCAGUCGGUUGUGAAAGUCAAGGGCUCAACCCUUGAAUGCCGGCCGAUACUGCCGGGCUAGAGUCCGGAAGAGGUGAGUGGAAUUCCUGGUGUAGCGGUGAAAUGCGCAGAUAUCAGGAGGAACACCGAUGGCGAAGGCAGCCCACUGGGACGGUACUGACGCUGAGACGCGAAAGCGUGGGGAGCAAACAGG
rnacentral:rRNA from 1 species